rnacentral:lncRNA from 1 species
UUUUUUUUUUUUUUUUUAAGAUUGUGUAGUCUGCAUACUGCAUUUGGUGCAUCCCAUAAAGUUUAAGUAUGUGGUAUUUUUGUUUACAGUUAAAUCUCAAGUAUUUUUUCAUUUCUAUAGUAUAAAAUUUCUGCCACUUCGUUUCCCUUCUCAUUCACUCGUUGUCUGGAUUAGAUUAAUUUCCACAUGUUUGUAGGUUCUCCAGUUUUCCUCAUAUCUGUUUGAGACAGAGAGAGAGAGAGAGAGAGAGAGAGAGAGAGAGAGAGAGAGAGAGAGAGAGUGAGAGAGUGUUUGGGCAUGCAGCACAGCAUGAGUGUAGAGAUCAGAGGACAACUUGUGGUAGUCAGUUCUCCUUCUACCCUGUGUUUCAGGAUUGAACUCAGGUCGUCAGACUUAGUGGCAAGUGCCUUCCUUAGCAGCCGAGCCAUCUCCCCAGCCUCCUCCUGUCUGUGGUGCUAGUGUCCAUUGUGGCUGGAGAAGAUAUUCCACAUGGUUUUAAACUCACUGAAAUUGCCGUGUGACUUCCUGUGGUUGGUCAUGUCUAAUCUCGUGUGCGUGCGGGAGAAGAGUGUGUAAUUGCUGUUAGGGUGAAGUGCCGGGGGGGUGCAGCGCAAGUUCUCUGCUGGUUUUGAAGAUGGUGUAUUAAGGUUUCCUGCAGUUGCCGAGGAGCUCAUCCUCCUCUGCUUUACAUCAGCGGUGCCUCUGUACGUUUGUGGCUCUGUCAUUUGCGGGAACGUGUGAACAUUACACCCUGGUGAACUGAUGCGCUUACCACUAUGUGGUGCUCAGCAGCCUGGUUGGUUGGUUGGUUGGUUGGUUGGUUGGUUUGUUUGUUUGUUUGUUUGUUUUCUUGCUGCUGCUCUGGAUUUACAGUGCUGUACCUAGUCAAUGGUACAUUGUGGCUCUGGUACCACAUCCUAGGUGUCUUACCCAGGCUAGCAAAGUCUCUUAACUGAUUUUUUUCAUUUGCUGUAUGUCCUUAGGAUAGUUUCCAUGCACCAAAUUACUUUAUAAGUUGAGGGUUCAUUUUUUGAGAUUCUGAAUCGGCCUCUUUUCUUCCCUUGUCUUCCUGGCCUCUUCAUGACUUUCUACACUUGCUCUUGGACAGCUUUGAGAAAUUACUGUUAGGUCUAAAAGCUGAGUGAAAUAGAAGCUUCCAGUUGUCAUGGCUCCAGGCUGUAGUACUGGGUCAUAGACUAAACACUAGUGGUCGUGGGUGCAUCAUAUUUAAAAAGCAAGUACCACAAAGGAGUAGCACUUACUUACAUUAUAGAGCAUACUAAAAUAUUUUAAAGAAGGAUCAAAGAAAAUAACAUCAACACUUACUUUCUUUUAAAGUAUUAUGAUCUUUAAAGUUUUCUGAGGAUAUUUUUUUCUUUUAAAAAAAGUUAAUUAUAACUGCCACAAGGAAUGUGACAAUGUUAUAAGCUUUGUUAUUGAGAAAAAUCACUCUCCUGAGAUUAAAAUUUACUCAGUUUUUUUAUAGUUAGUAACCAUAUGUGUUGGUUAAUUUUAGGUCAGCUUGACACAAGCUAGAGGCAUUAGGGAAGAGGGACUCUCCAUUGAGAAAAUGUCCGUAAGAUUGGCCUAUAGACAACUCUUUGAAGCGUUUUCUUAAUUAAUGAUUGAUGUGAAAGGGCCCAGCCCACUGUGGGUGGUUUCAGCCCUGGCCAAGUGGUUCUUGUUUUGUAAGAGAGCAGGCAGAACAGGCCAUACAAGCCAGCAGGCAGCAUUCUUCCACGGUCUCUGCAUCAGUUUCCUGCUUUGAGUUCCUGCCCUGACUUCCCUACGUGAAACAAACUCAUUCCUCCCCAAGUUGCAUUUAGUCAUGGUAUUUUAUCAAAGCAGUAGAAAUCCUAAGACCUCAUACAUGGCAGUCUCAGAUACAGAAACCUUUCUAAGGUCUUUGUUCUUUCCCAAUUCUUGCUUUUUAAGUUUUCUUUGUUUUUGUUUUUUUUUGUAAUGUGUAAAUAUCUAGGUAUAAUCACAAAAGUACAUGCUAACCCACACCUACACCCUUUUAGCACUUUCUGCUAAGGCAGAAAGAUCAGGAGUUCAAGGACAUCCUAGGCUAAACUUGAAGAUUCAGGGCCAGCCUGGGGUAUGAGAGACCAGGUUUUAACAAAGAAAGAGGUGGGAGGGGUAGUAGAAAGAGGGAAGAAGAGGAGAGAGAGGAAAACCACAGAGAUGUUGGAGACUUGGGGUCCUGCCUGGAGUGUAUAGGAAAGCCAACUGAGCAAGCUGAAAUCUUCCCUCUCCAGGGUGCUUUUGACUUUAUAUCCUAGCCAUAGAGAGCAGUGAGGACAUACGCGGCAUGUAGGUUAUUUUUAGUUUCUUAUUCUUCAUACAUAUGUCAUCAUCUUGUCCAUAUGUUAAGGCUAACAUGCACAUAGUCACACGUAGUUUUAAUGGACAGUUUCAAGAAAUAAUAUUGCUAAGUCAUGAUGGGUUCCUUAUAGCUUCACUUUUGCCUGAGGGUAUUAACUCAGACUUCUCAGGAGGUUCCAGGAGCUUAGGACUAAUACUUCAUUUGCUCAAAUUGAGUUUUCCUGUCUCAUUUGAGAAGAGAAAUUUUGAGCUUGUUUUCUUUUCAUUUUGUUACUGAAAUUGUGAGUGAAGUUGAACAUCUUCCAUCAUUCUUCAGUUUCAAUAUUUGUGUUUUCAUAUUCUCUGUAAGUCAGUACUUUAAAAAAAAAAAAGUUGUUCAGUCCUUUGUCUUGUGUAGUAGAAAUCUCUUUGCCCAAAAGCAUUUUUUGGGCAUGAUCUCUGUGUGGUUUUGUUUUGUUUUGCUUUUGAAUAGCAUGAUUUUUGUAUUUUUAUGUUAUCAAAUUGAUUUUUUUUAAUAUCUUGGGUUUGUUGUUGUUUUGUUUUUUUGUUGGAUUUUUGUUGUUUUGGUUGAUUUUUGUUUGUUUGUUUGAUUUUUGUUUUGUUUUUGAGACAGAAUUUCUCUGUAGUCCUGCCAUUCUUCCUGUUCUGGAGCAAGCUGUGUAGAACAGGCUGGCCUUGAACCCAAACUCACAGAGCCUAGUGCCUUUGGCUCCUGGGUGCUGGGACUGAAGUGAGCCCUUUCUUUCCCCGUCUUAAUAUCUCUCACAGCUGCUCCAGCCUCCAAGGUUCACUUUGUAAGCCCAUUUUUUUUACACACAAAAGUGUUAGUAAUUUUGAAAUUAGUUUUAGAUGUUUGUUCCAUUUUCUGUUAGGUGUUUGCUUACCUUCUAUGUGUGCCUCUUUUCUGUUGCUGUUAUAGAGUGCUGGGUGUCCUGGCAAAAAUCAGCCAGGGGAGAAACAGUUUAUUUUGUCCUAUGGUUAGAGAGGGAAGCAAUCGUGAUGACCUGGAAGGUGACACCUAGCAAGCAAAUGAUUAAUUACAUUUCAUAUGCACACAGGGACCAGAGAGAGACAGAAAGUGGGACUGGGCUGUCAAACCUCAGACUGCCUCUGCCUCCGGUGGUGUACAGACUCCAGGGCUCCACCUCCUAAAGGUUCUAUAACUUUCUUAACUGUGCCGCCAGCUGGGGAUCCAGUGUUCAGACACACAAGCCUAUGGGGGACAUUCUCCUUCAAACCACAGCACCUUGCUUUCCAUUAAUCCCCAGCCCUUCAGAUUCUGAGAAUGCAGGUUGGCAGUCUCACUAUUACUAACCUCUCUGAGUCACUGCUUCCCUCCAGGAACACUUUAGAAUGAUACUGUGUCUUUUUAAAGCUUCGGCCUCAAGCUGUUUUAUUUCCUUGUUUGUACAAGUCAUUUGGGGUGGGGUGAUAGAAGCAUCUUCACUUCACUCUGUCACUGUCUCUGCUGCUACUGUUAGGUGGUGUUAAGCCAUGCCAUUUAAGUGCUGGAGUUGUAUAGGUUAAACCUGGCCUCCGUGGGGGACGAUUGAACCUCUGGAAAAGCGCUCCAUAAUUACACACUGUGUAAGUCUGGGCAGUUUCUCAGUGAGAUCCACUCUGUAGGAGAGGAUGCUCUCGCAGACGCCGGAGGAGCAAAUCUUAAGGCAGAUUUUGGAGUCUCGGCAGAGGCUUGUGCGGGUGAGCUGCAUUUAAGGCUGAAUUCCUUCUGUGUAUUUCUGUCAUUAGCUUUAAUUUAUAUCAGUUGCUGAAUCUUCUGGCAACUCACAGGAAAUUGGUUUGAGACUAUAACAGACCAGAGUUUUAGAAAAUUACAAAUUCCAGAAGUAGAGAAUCCUGGAAUUCUUUUUUUUUUUUUUAAAUACUGUCAUAAAUAAGAGUCCCCUGAAUAAUCUUUACAGGAACCCCC